AAGUCGUAACAAGGUUUCCGUAGGUGAACCUGCGGAAGGAUCAUUAUUGAAUAAACCUGAUGUAGUUGUAGCUGGCUCCUAGGAGCAUGUGCACGCUCGUCACUUUUAUCUUUCCACCUGUGCAUCCAUUGUAGGCCUGGAUAACCCUCGCUUGGUUUCAAGCGGACGCGAGAAUUGCUGCUGCUCUUUCUGCAAGGAAAGGCCAGCUUUUCUCGAAUUUCCAGGUCUAUGUUUUCUUACAUACCCCAAUUGAAUGUUACCGAAUGUUAUCAAAUGGGCUUCUGCCUAUAAAACACAAUACAACUUUCAGCAACGGAUCUCUUGGCUCUC
rnacentral:misc_RNA from 1 species